rnacentral:rRNA from 1 species
AGUGAACGCUGGCGGCAGGCCUAACACAUGCAAGUCGAGCGGCAGCGGGUCCUUCGGGAUGCCGGCGAGCGGCGGACGGGUGAGGAAUGCAUCGGAAUCUGCCCUGUCGUGGGGGAUAACCUAGGGAAACUUAGGCUAAUACCGCAUACGACCCACGGGUGAAAGCGGGGGAUCGCAAGACCUCGCGCGAUAGGAUGAGCCGAUGUCCGAUUGGCUAGUUGGCGGGGUAAAGGCCCACCAAGGCGACGAUCAGUAGCUGGUCUGAGAGGAUGAUCAGCCACACUGGGACUGAGACACGGCCCAGACUCCUACGGGAGGCAGCAGUGGGGAAUAUUGGACAAUGGGCGCAAGCCUGAUCCAGCCAUGCCGCGUGGGUGAAGAAGGCCUUCGGGUUGUAAAGCCCUUUUGUCCGGGAAGAAAUCGUCUGGGCUAAUACCCCGGGCGGAUGACGGUACCGGAAGAAUAAGCACCGGCUAACUUCGUG